rnacentral:ncRNA from 2 species
GGCCAGCAUCAAGAGUUGGGCUGGCGCCCAACACCAACCUGCCUUCCCGGGCAAGGUGGUGGCUUCCCGCGGGAAGCGAUGCGGCCUGAACCGGCAAUCAUACGGGAACGA